GGAAGAUGAUGGGGAUGACAAGGGCAGCCCGCACUCCGGGGCAGGAGGAUGGCUCCUUCCCGGAGUCCUUUGCUCUCAUGUCCAAAUAUCAUCCUCUGGCCAGCGGCACCCGCUGCCACCUGGGCAGCAGUGCUGGUUUCAACCAGACUCCUCAUUCCCAGUUCCAGAGGGACCUUCCAGGCCCCCAGACCCAGGGAAGAGUUGCCCCACGGCCCCGCAGCCCCUCUCCAAGGACGUGCCUCCCCGGGGCUGAGCUUUGACUUAGCCUCAAGCUGGCUUUUCAUCACUUCCCCCCCGCCCCGUCCUCGCUCCCUUCCCAGCUCCCUGCAGCCUCACAGCUUUGUUUUUAAGGCCCAGCACUGAAAUUUGGCCUCUUUGUCCCAUAUUUUGACCCAUAUUCUGCCAAUGAAUCAGUUCACGGUGGCCCCAGAAAACCAGGUUCCCGGGCCCGGCACAACCUGCCCCGGCGCGGGGCGAGGCCGGGGCGGGGGGAAGGGGGCUCCUCCGCAGCAGCCUGAUGCCAGAGGAAGGGGUGCAGCUGAGACCUGACGCACUCAGUGCAGGGACACAGAAACCCAGGGAUCCCCCCCCCUGCAGGACACCGAUGAGGCUGUGCUCACUGAAUCUACAGCUGUACUCACAAUCCAGAAAAAAAGAGAGAGCGCGCGCGCGAGGAAAAUACUGAAGUAUUCCUACAGAGUAUUUGUUCCAGUUAGCUCCCUCCGCGGGCAGGAGACAGAG